GUGCCAGCAGCCGCGGUAAGACGUAGGGGGCCAGCGUUGUUCGGAAUUACUGGGCGUAAAGCGCACGUAGGCGGAUCGAUCAGUCAGGGGUGAAAUCCCAGAGCUCAACUCUGGAACUGCCUUUGAUACUGUCGAUCUGGAGUAUGGAAGAGGUGAGUGGAAUUCCGAGUGUAGAGGUGAAAUUCGUAGAUAUCGUAAGGAAGACCAGUGGCGAAGGCGGCUCACUGGCCCGGUACUGACGCUGAGGUGCGAAAGCGUGGGGAGCAAACAGGAUUAGAUACCCCAGUAGUCC
rnacentral:rRNA from 1 species